CGGGGGGCUUUAACAUGCAAGUUCGAGCGGAAAAGCCACUUCGGUGGUUCUCGAGCGGGGAAGGGUGACCACUAAAAAAAAAGAAGAAGCCCUGGACUUUGGGAUAGCCCCGGAAACCUUCCCGUAAUACCGGAUACGACGGCUCCACGCAUGUGGUGGUCGUGGAAAGUUUUUUCGGUUCAGGAUGUGCUCGCGGCCUAUCAUCUUGAUGGUGGGGUAAUGGCCUACCAUGGCUUCGACGGGUAGCCGGCCUGAGAGGGUGACCGGCCACACUGGGACUGAGACACGGCCCAGACUCCUACGGGAGGCAGCAGUGGGGAAUAUUGGACAAUGGGCGGAAGCCUGAUCCAGCAACGCCGCGUGAGGGAUGACGGCCUUCGGGUUGUAAACCUCUUUCAGUACCGACGAAGCGAAAGUGACGGUAGGUACAGAAGAAGCACCGGCCAACUACGUGCCAUCUGCCGCGGUAAUA
rnacentral:rRNA from 1 species